AGAUGGUUAGGUUGAGGAUGCCAACGAGAUACCAACAAAGGUUUGGCACGAGAAUGUACAUGUUCGAAAAGGAUGAGGGUGACAGAGGUGCAUUGUGAUUGAGGACUCCGAUUGUGCUGUUUUUAAUAGAAAAUUGCUUGAACAUUUCUUCAGCAAAGAACUUUCACUCUACAUUUGAUUUAUUUUUGAUACAGCAAGAAAUGAUUCAAUUUGUGAAGUCUAUGAUUCAUGUUCUUGGCUUACGUAUCCAUCUUCAUGUCUCGAACCUCGACUCCACCAAGGUGUAUUGUGGGAUCUGUGGCUCCGACUCCGAAUAUUACUGCUCCAAGGUGUAUUUAUGGCUUAUCUGAUAAGUUACACUGAAUUAGAUGGAGAACUCCCGAGCCUUGAGAUAAACUGAAUCAGAAGGUGAUCACAUUGACAGGUACUUUCGCUGGUCUAAAAGUAAUCAGAAUUGCAAUGGAUAGUAAAAAACCAUAUUGUUCAUGACAAGGUACAGGUGGGAUUAUUGACUUUUGUUUUUUAUAAUUGAUUUCAUGUAAGUAGA
rnacentral:lncRNA from 1 species